rnacentral:rRNA from 1 species
AGUGGCGCACGGGUGAGUAACACGUAGCUUACCUGCCUCAAAGCGGGGGAUAACGCACCGAAAGGUGUGCUAAUACCCCAUAAGCUCACGGGGGAUAGAGGCCUUGUGAGAAAAGUUCCGGCGCUUUGAGAGGGGGCUGCGGCCCAUCAGCUAGUUGGUAGGGUAAUGGCCUACCAAGGCGACGACGGGUAGGGGGCCUGAGAGGGUGACCCCCCACACUGGGACUGAGACACGGCCCAGACUCCUACGGGAGGCAGCAGUGAGGAAUAUUGGGCAAUGGGCGCAAGCCUGACCCAGCGACGCCGCGUGGGUGAUGAAGGCUUUCGGGUCGUAAAACCCUUUUCUGCGUGACGAGGAAGGACGGUAGCGCAGGAAUAAGUGUCGGCUAACUACGUGCCAGCAGCCGCGGUAAAACGUAGGACGCAAACGUUAUCCGGAGUUACUGGGCGUAAAGCGCGUGCAGGCGGACGAGCAAGUCUUCUGUGAAAGCUCCCGGCUAAACUGGGAGAGGUCGGAAGAGACUGCUGGUCUGGAGGGUGGUAGAGGAGCGUGGAAUUCCGCGUGUAGUGGUGAAAUGCGUAGAGAUGCGGAGGAACACCAGUGGCGAAGGCGGCGCUCUGGGCCACACCUGACGCUGAGGCGCGAAAGCAUGGGGAGCGGACGGGAUUAGAAACCCCAGUAGUCCAUGCCGUAAACGAUG